rnacentral:rRNA from 1 species
UACGUAGGUCCCGAGCGUUGUCCGGAUUUAUUGGGCGUAAAGCGAGCGCAGGUGGUUUAUUAAGUCUGGUGUAAAAGGCAGUGGCUCAACCAUUGUAUGCAUUGGAAACUGGUAGACUUGAGUGCAGGAGAGGAGAGUGGAAUUCCAUGUGUAGCGGUGAAAUGCGUAGAUAUAUGGAGGAACACCGGUGGCGAAAGCGGCUCUCUGGCCUGUAACUGACACUGAGGCUCAAAAGCGUGGGGAGCAAACAGG